UUGCUUCUCUGAUGUUAGCGGCGGACGGGUGAGUAACACGUGGAUAACCUACCUAUAAGACUGGGAUAACUUCGGGAAACCGGAGCUAAUACCGGAUAAUAUUUUGAACCGCAUGGUUCAAAAGUGAAAGACGGUCUUGCUGUCACUUAUAGAUGGAUCCGCGCUGCAUUAGCUAGUUGGUAAGGUAACGGCUUACCAAGGCAACGAUGCAUAGCCGACCUGAGAGGGUGAUCGGCCACACUGGAACUGAGACACGGUCCAGACUCCUACGGGAGGCAGCAGUAGGGAAUCUUCCGCAAUGGGCGAAAGCCUGACGGAGCAACGCCGCGUGAGUGAUGAAGGUCUUCGGAUCGUAAAACUCUGUUAUUAGGGAAGAACAUAUGUGUAAGUAACUGUGCACAUCUUGACGGUACCUAAUCAGAAAGCCACGGCUAACUACGUGCCAGCAGCCGCGGUAAUACGUAGGUGGCAAGCGUUAUCCGGAAUUAUUGGGCGUAAAGCGCGCGUAGGCGGUUUUUUAAGUCUGAUGUGAAAGCCCACGGCUCAACCGUGGAGGGUCAUUGGAAACUGGAAAACUUGAGUGCAGAAGAGGAAAGUGGAAUUCCAUGUGUAGCGGUGAAAUGCGCAGAGAUAUGGAGGAACACCAGUGGCGAAGGCGACUUUCUGGUCUGUAACUGACGCUGAUGUGCGAAAGCGUGGGGAUCAAACAGGAUUAGAUACCCUGGUAGUCCACGCCGUAAACGAUGAGUGCUAAGUGUUAGGGGGGUUU
rnacentral:rRNA from 1 species